AAAAACAUUGCUUUAUGAAAAAUAAAUAUAAGGUUCACUCUGCCCAGUGACUUAUGAGUUAAACGGCCGCGGUACCCUGACUGUGCUAAGGUAGCGUGAUAAUUCGCCCUUUAAUUGUGGGCUUGUACGAAUGGGUUAACGAGGGUUUGACUGUCUCCUUUUUAGUAAUAGAAAUUAAUAUUCAGGUGAAAAGGCCUGAAUUAAUUUGCAGGACAAAAAGACCCCAUAGAGCUUUGUUUUAUUUGUGCUUGCUAAAAGAGUGUUUGUAUCUUUUAUUUUGUGUGAUAAAACUUAACUGGGGCGGUUGGGGAAAACUUUAUCUUCCUUUAUAGAAUACGCAUAUGAGGCUUAAACUUAUGAUCCUAAAAAUAGAAUAAAGAAAAGCUACCUUGGGGGUAACAGACUAAUUUUUUUUGAGAGUCCAUAUUGACAAAAAAGUUUGGCACAUCGAUGUUGGCUUAGGGUAACCUUAAGAUAGCAGAAGUCUUUUAGGUGGGUUUGUUCAACCUUUAAACCCCUACGUGAGCUG
rnacentral:rRNA from 1 species